CUCCUGUCUCCCUCCUCCCCUCCCACCAACUUCUGUUCUUCUCUUUGGUUCCAAUCAAGCUGGAAUUCAGAAUGAGACCAGAUAGUAUCAGGAUACUUAAAGCUGGAAACAACCUUGGAGAACAUUUACUCCAAUCACCUCAUUUUGCAGAAGAAAGAAUUGAAACUUAAGACUUGCAGAUAGUAAGGAGCAAAGCCAGGAUUCAAAACCAGGAUAGGGUGAGAGAGAAGAUUUUGCCACCCAAUAGCAUCUUCUAGCAGAAGUACAAGGCAACAUCUUAAGGAACAAGAGUCCAGUUGAAGAAAUGAAUCGAAUUGGGAUGAGAAAAAGUGCCUGGAGCUUGGAGUCUAUUGAAGAAAUGACUGCCUGACAGCCAAGAAUUCUUUUCACAUUAGAGUAUGGUUUCUGGUUCUUUCCCAAUAACCACGAGUAAGUAAACAAGCAUUUAUUGAGAGAUGGCCAUACUGCUAAGCACAUAAUUGUUUCCUAGAUCUGGAUUUUUGCUAAGACUGAAGCUUGAUAUGGUGGUGAUCACAGCCAAACAUUAGGCCAGUGACGGGCAACCUUUUGAGCUUGGUGUGUCAAAAUUCACCAAAAAACCAAGCAUAACUCAGGUGGUGUGUCACUUUGAGGAAAAAAAACCAUAACUUUGUGGCAUUUAUAGUUUAAAUAACAAAAAUGUAUAAUUAUAAUAUAAAAUUGUAUUUAAUAAAACCAAAAACUAAUUAUUU
rnacentral:lncRNA from 1 species